UCCCUGGUGGCUCAGAGGUUAAAGCGUCUGCCUCCAAUGCCGGAGACCUGGGUUCGAUCCCUGGGUUGGGAA
rnacentral:tRNA from 1 species